rnacentral:pre_miRNA from 1 species
AGGUUGGGAUUUGUCGCAAUGCUGUGUUUCUGUAUAGUAUUGCACUUGUCCCGGCCUGU